rnacentral:sRNA from 1 species
CUCGCGGGUCCGGGAGCGCGACGGAGACGAUGCCUGAGAUCAGAGUCACGCCCUUGGGUAGACGAUGAGCUGGAGAUCAAGGCCUACUAUGCAGGCCAUGUGCUGGGGGCAGCCAUGUUCCAGAUUAAAGUGGGCUCAGAGUCUGUGGUCUACACGGGUGAUUAUAACAUGACCCCAGACCGACACUUGGGGUAAGUAGGCUGAGGUGUCUUUUUGUCCCGUGGGUCCCCCUGAAGCUCAGGACCCUUGCGGGUGUCAGGGUGCCAGCCCUUGAGCGGCCAGCCUGGCAGUGUCUCCCAUGUUCUGUGCGGCCUGGAGAGCCCCUUCGUUCUGGGCCCAGAUGUGCAAAGGCACAGGGUCCAGGCGGGGGCCUCUGUCUCUCCUCUCUCUUCCCAAGUGUCUAGGUGGGUGCCUCUGUCUCUCCUCUCUCUUCCCAAGUGUGCUGCCCACAGCAUUUUACCAGCUGGCUCUUUCCAGCCAGAGUGGCCUAGGAAGGCGGCUGGGUGUGGUACUGGGGUCCAGCUUGUCACACCCAGCCCUGCAACUGUGGG